rfam:Meloidogyne hapla strain VW9 Mh10g200708_Contig1101, whole genome shotgun sequence.
CAAACGGCCUUCUUUAGGGCCACAAAUUUAAUAAGUGAAACUCGA